CAUGCCUCUUGGAGAGAUGGAGUUUAUGUAUUAGUACUUGUUUGUAUAUGUAGGGCUAGAGAAUUUAGCAUUAUUAGAGGUUGUAUUGCUCUGAAGCAUCUUGGAUUCUAAUUGGGAAAGAGACAUGGAUGUAAGGAAAUCUGAGCUAUGUACAGCAAACUGAGAUGUGGUGUCAUUUUGCAAUAUUUUCUUGUGGUUUCUUCUUUUAAAAAUUUGCUGUAGUAGUGCGUGAUUAUUUUGAAAGAAAAUGAUCCAAAGUUACUAUGAUGAAG
rnacentral:misc_RNA from 1 species